CGAACGCUGGCGGCGUGCUUAACACAUGCAAGUCGAACGGAAAGGCCUGCUUUCCCUUGUGGAUUGCGGGUGCUCGAGUGGCGAACGGGUGAGUAACACGUGAGUGAUCUGCCCCCAACUUGGGUAUAAGCCUGGGAAACUGGGUCUAAUUCCCGAUAGGACUGCAGGGUGGUGCCUGUGGUGGAAAACGAUUUUCUAGUGGUUGGGGAUGAGCUCGCGGCCUAUCAGCUUGUUGGUGGGGUAAUGGCCUACCAAGGCGGCGACGGGUAGCCGGCCUGAGAGGGUGGACGGCCACAUUGGGACUGAGAUACGGCCCAGACUCCUACGGGAGGCAGCAGUGGGGAAUAUUGCACAAUGGGCGGAAGCCUGAUGCAGCGACGCCGCGUGGGGGAUGACGGCCUUCGGGUUGUAAACUCCUUUCGACCGCGAGGAAGCCACCUGGUUGGAAGGGUGGUGACGGUAGUGGUAGAAGAAGCACCGGCUAACUACGUG
rnacentral:rRNA from 1 species